rnacentral:rRNA from 1 species
UACGUGGGCAGCGAGCGUUGUUCGGAGUUACUGGGCGUAAAGCGUGCGUGGGCGGUGUCUUAAGUUUGUUGUGAAAUCUCCCGGCUUAACCGGGAGGGUGCGGCGAAUACUGAGAUGCUGGAGUGCCGGAGAGGUAAGCGGAAUUCCUGGUGUAGCGGUGAAAUGCGUAGAUAUCAGGAGGAACACCUGCGGUGUAGACGGCUUACUGGACGGUAACUGACGCUGAGGCACGAAAGCGUGGGUAGCAAACAGG